UUAUCUCAACCAGAGCUUCUAAGUGGGGUAAGUUUAACUGCUUCUUUCCAAGUCAAUAGCCAGAGGAUCCUCCUGACCUUUUACCAUUAUCAUCUCCCCUCUUGACCCCUUUUCUCUCAUCAGUGGUAUUCUAGGGGGUGCAUUUUACGACCUCUUCAGAAGGAAUCAAAGGAAAAUAAAACACACACUACAAUCUCCAAAGGGCAAAGGGUUUUUUUGAUCCUUCCCUUUCCCACCCCCUUACACACACCCUAAGCACCACUUGGAGCAUGGUGUUCUGAACACCAUGCUUUUCCCCAGGCACUUCAUGGGAACAACCCCGAGGAGCAGCUUAGCAUGGGGUGGGUGAGAAUUUUCUUCCAUAGGGAUGUGCCCGGAUCGCCCUCUUGGGAGCUCAGGGGAGGCAAGCGUUUCCAGUUGGAGGAGGGAAGACGGAAGUCAAGUGUCUCCUCCCCAUCCCAGGUAUGUGGGGCCCCAGAACCUGCUACUCACAUCUGCCUCGUUCCAGAGCCCUGGGAUGCAGAAGGACUCCAGCAGGUCACUGCCACACAGCAGCAAGAUCCGCAGCUCUGAGGAGGGAGCAAAGUUGGCAGAGGGAGUAAGAGAAGGCCUGGGAGUACUCCGCUUCGCCUUCCUCCUUCAUGAACCCAGACAUCCCGCACUCUGGCCCUGGGGGCUGCACAGCCCAGGGCUCCCAGCAGCCCGGCGCCAAGGUAUAGCAGUGCAGGAACCUCCCUCCUGCUGGGGCUCAUUUAC
rnacentral:lncRNA from 1 species